GCUACAGUCAGAGCUACAGUUAGAGCUACAGUUAGAGCUACAGUCAGAGCUACAGUUAGAGCUACAGUUAGAGCUACAGUCAGAGCUACAGUUAGAGCUACAGUUAGAGCUACAGUCAGAGCUACAGUUAGAGCUACAGUUAGAGCUACAGUUAGAGCCAGAUUGAUGCCAGUUCUGAGAACUGUGCAAAAUCCAAAUCCCUGAAUGGAAUUGAUAUCCCGAAAGAACGGGGCUCGAAAGCACAGAGCUAACCUAGCUAACCUAGGAAUGUCAUUAAUUAUGUUGCAAAUGCUUGUUAUUUCAUGUUUUAGACACAGCUACGACAUCCACAUCACAGCGACCGUAGACCAGUCCGGGUUUAGAUCGGGGAACCUCCUGGACCUUAAAAACCCUUUCUUUAGAAUGCCGACCUGGCUCCAUGGCUAGAAGGUCCAUAAUGGACCACCUCAGCAGAUCCCACCUUCUACAUCUAGAAUCCACCAAGACAAAAUGUACCCCUGUUCCAUAAACAUUAUAAUGCUGUAUUAACACAUUGGUGGAAUAGCAUUGUUUUCAAAAUAAAGCACAACUAAGGAUUUUUAUCCGAUUUCAAUUAUUGUUCCCCUUAGCUGAUUGUAUUUGACUCACAUGUUGCAGUUAAAAUAAAGAACAAUAAAUUAUUAUAUCCAA